rnacentral:lncRNA from 1 species
GCUCAAAAGCCAAGAAAAGAAAUCAGCCUAUCUGUCCAUCCACAGAUGAAGGGAUGAAGAAUCUCUGGUACACAGACAGGAUGGAAUACUUUUAUGCCAUCAAAAUUCAUGGAAUCCUAUCAUUUCCAGCAACAUGGCUGCACCUGCAGAUAUUCUGUUCAAUCACAUCAGAAAGGCAGACAAAGACCAAGCCCGCAUGUUCUCACUCAUGUGGGAGCUGAAAACUUUAACUCACUGAAGGUGAAAAUACAGUAGUGGUCACCACAGACUAGGUGGAGGACAGGACCUCAAGGAUUGGCAAUAGGUACACAGAGAGUUACAGGAGAGGAAUACAUUCUGGUAUUCCACUCCAAAGCAGGGCGAUGAUACUUAACAAUAUGGUUAUGCCAUUUUCAAAGUAGCUACCAAGGAGGAUACUGAAUGUUCACACAUCGAAGAUAUCAAACUUACACGUGGUCACAAGCAUGGGAAACUCCCUGAUUUUAUCCAUACUCAAGGUAUACAAACAAGUAUCACAAUGUCCCAAUGCACCCCUAAUUCUGGACAUGAAGUGUAAAACAAACGUUUUAUGAAAUGUUAACAAUACACGGCUAAAUGUUCACAUGGAUCCACUGAAGACCCAAGGAACCUGAAUAUGCAAAGCAAUUCUAGGGAAUACAAACUCAACUGGAGGCCACACACUCCCCAAUUUCAAAUUACAUGUAACACCUCCACUCAUCCAAAGACUACAGUAGUGGCAUAAAAAUGAAUCCAUCAACCUAGGGACUUAAGAGAAUCUAAACACAUACCUGCAGUCAACACAUUCUUUUUCAAAGAAUGCCUAGAAGAUGCAAUGAGGCCAUGUGCUGUGGCUCACACCAGUACUUCCAGCAGUUUCAGAGACCGAGUUGGGUGGACCUCUUGAGGUCAGGAGUUUCAGACCAGCUUGGCCAAAAUGGUGAAAUCCUAUCUCUAGUAAAAAUACAAAAGAUAUUAGUCAGGUGUGGUGGUGCACAGCAGCAAUCCCAGCCACUUGGGAAGAUGAGGCAGGAGAAUCACUCGAAGCAAGGAGGCGGAGGUGGCAGAGAGCUGAGAUCUCACCACUGCACUCCAGUCUGGGUGACAGCAUGAGUGGGACUGUGUCCCCAAGGGGAAAAAGGAUGAGAUGAGGAGUCAGCAGUCUGUUCAAUUGAGCAGUCUGAAAUGACUGGAUAGCCACAUACAAAAGAAUGAAAUAAGACGUUGACGUUAUACAAUACACAAACACAAACUCGAAAUACAUUAAACCCUAAACACAAGACCUAAAAGCAUAAUACUGCUGCAGGAAAACACAGAGUGAGCUUAAGUGAGGAAAACCUGAAUCUAAGCUCACAGGAUAUAAAAGCAAACAACAGACAAAA